rnacentral:rRNA from 1 species
UACGUAGGGUGCGAGCGUUAAUCGGAAUUACUGGGCGUAAAGCGUGCGCAGGCGGUGAUGUAAGACAGAUGUGAAAUCCCCGGGCUCAACCUGGGAACUGCGUUUGAGACUGCAUCACUAGAGUACGGCAGAGGGAGGUGGAAUUCCAUGUGUAGCAGUGAAAUGCGUAGAGAUGUGGAGGAACACCGAUGGCGAAGGCAGCCUCCUGGGCCAGUACUGACGCUCAUGCACGAAAGCGUGGGGAGCAAACAGG